UCGAGAAUUUUUCUCAAUGGGCGAAAGCCUGAAGGAGCGACGCCGCGUGAGGGAUGAAGGGCUUCGGCCCGUAAACCUCUGUCAUUUGCGAACAAACCUUAUGAUUGAACAUUUCAUGAGCUGAUUGUAGCGAAAGAGGAAGGGACGGCUAACUCUGUGCCAGCAGCCGCGGUAAUACAGAGGUCCCAAGCGUUGUUCGGAUUCACUGGGCGUAAAGGGUGCGCAGGUGGGUUGGCAAGUUCGAUGUGAAAGCCCCGGGCUUAACCCGGGAAUGGCAUUGGAUACUGCUGAUCUGGAGGAUUGGAGGGGGGACUGGAAUUCUUGGUGUAGCAGUGAAAUGCGUAGAUAUCAAGAGGAACACCAGUGGCGAAGGCGAGUCCCUGGACAAUACCUGACACUGAGGCACGAAAGCCAAGGGAGCAAACAG
rnacentral:rRNA from 1 species